AGAGUUUGAUCCUGGCUCAGGAUGAACGCUGGCGGCGUGCUUAACACAUGCAAGUCGAACGGGAAACUAUUUUAUUGAAGCUUCGGUGGAUUUAAUUUGUUUCUAGUGGCGGACGGGUGAGUAACGCGUGGGUAACCUGCCUUAUACUGGGGGAUAACAGCCAGAAAUGACUGCUAAUACCGCAUAAGCGCACAGAACCGCAUGGUUCGGUGUGAAAAACUCCGGUGGUAUAAGAUGGACCCGCGUUGGAUUAGCUAGUUGGCAGGGCAGCGGCCUACCAAGGCGACGAUCCAUAGCCGGCCUGAGAGGGUGAACGGCCACAUUGGGACUGAGACACGGCCCAGACUCCUACGGGAGGCAGCAGUGGGGAAUAUUGCACAAUGGGGGAAACCCUGAUGCAGCGACGCCGCGUGAAGGAAGAAGUAUCUCGGUAUGUAAACUUCUAUCAGCAGGGAAGAUAAUGACGGUACCUGACUAAGAAGCCCCGGCUAACUACGUGCCAGCAGCCGCGGU
rnacentral:rRNA from 1 species